rnacentral:rRNA from 1 species
UACGUAGGGUGCAAGCGUUGUCCGGAAUUACUGGGCGUAAAGCGUGCGCAGGCGGUUUUGUAAGCCAGAUGUGAAAGCCCCGGGCUUAACCUGGGAAUGGCAUUUGGGACUGCAAGGCUUGAGUGCGGCAGAGGAGACUGGAAUUCCUGGUGUAGCAGUGAAAUGCGUAGAUAUCAGGAGGAAUACCGAUGGCGAAGGCAGGUCUCUGGGCUGAUACUGACGCUCAUGCACGAAAGGCGUGGGGAGCA